GACGAACGCUGGCGGCGUGCUUAACACAUGCAAGUCGAACGGAAAGGCCCUGCUUUUGUGGGGUGCUCGAGUGGCGAACGGGUGAGUAACACGUGAGUAACCUGCCCUUGACUUUGGGAUAACUUCAGGAAACUGGGGCUAAUACCGGAUAGGAGCUUCUGCUGCAUGGUGUGGGUUGGAAAGUUUCGGCGGUUGGGGAUGGACUCGCGGCUUAUCAGCUUGUUGGUGGGGUAGUGGCUUACCAAGGAUUUGACGGGUAGCCGGCCUGGGAGGGUGACAGGCCACAGUGGGACUGAGAUGCGGCCCAGACUCAUACGGGAGGCAGGAGUGGGGACUAUUGCACAAAGGGCGGAAGCCUGAUGCAGCAACGCCGCGUGCGAGAUGACGGCCUUCGGGUUGUAAACCGCGUUCGCCUGUGACGAAGCGUGAGUGACGGUAAUAGGCAAAGAAGCACCGGCUAACUACGU
rnacentral:rRNA from 1 species